rnacentral:snRNA from 1 species
UUCGUUUUUAUAUUAAAAAAAAAUCUGUUCUUAUUAGUUUAAUAUCCGAUACGUCCCCCAUCGGGGGACCACAUAUUAAACGGAUUUUUGGAACAGGGAGCUGGAUCAGGAGCUUGCUCCAUCCUCUCCACGCAUCGGCCCGGUAUUNNNNNN